rnacentral:rRNA from 1 species
AACGGGGGGUAUUUCCCACUGGGCGCAGCCUGAUGCAGCAACGCCGCGUGAGGGACGACGGCCUUCGGGUUGUAAACCUCUUUUAGCAGGGAAGAAGCGAAAGUGACGGUACCUGCAGAAAAAGCGCCGGCUAACUACGUGCCAGCAGCCGCGGUAAUACGUAGGGCGCAAGCGUUAUCCGGAAUUAUUGGGCGUAAAGAGCUCGUAGGCGGUUUGUCGCGUCUGCUGUGAAAUCCGGAGGCUCAACCUCCGGCCUGCAGUGGGUACGGGCAGACUAGAGUGCGGUAGGGGAGAUUGGAAUUCCUGGUGUAGCGGUGGAAUGCGCAGAUAUCAGGAGGAACACCGAUGGCGAAGGCAGAUCUCUGGGCCGUAACUGACGCUGAGGAGCGAAAGGGUGGGGAGCAAACAGGCUUAGAUACCCUGGUAGUCCACCCCGUAAACGUUGGGAACUAGUUGUGGGGUCCAUUCCACGGAUUCCGUGACGCAGCUAACGCAUUAAGUUCCCCGCCUGGGGAGUACGGCCGCAAGGCUAAAACUCAAAGGAAUUGACGGGGACCCGCACAAGCGGCGGAGCAUGCGGAUUAAUUCGAUGCAACGCGAAGAACCUUACCAAGGCUUGACAUAUACGAGAACGGGCCAGAAAUGGUCAACUCUUUGGACACUCGUAAACAGGUGGUGCAUGGUUGUCGUCAGCUCGUGUCGUGAGAUGUUGGGUUAAGUCCCGCAACGAGCGCAACCCUCGUUCUAUGUUGCCAGCACGUAAUGGUGGGAACUCAUGGGAUACUGCCGGGGUCAACUCGGAGGAAGGUGGGGAUGACGUCAAAUCAUCAUGCCCCUUAUGUCUUAGCUUCACGCAUGCUACAAUGGCCGGUACAAAGGGCUGCAAUACCGUGAGGUGAGCGAAUCCCAAAAGCCGGUCCCAGUUCGGAUUGAGGUCUGCAACUCGACCUCAUGAAGUCGAAGU